AGUGAAGCUCUGACCCUUUAUGAGUCUUUGGGCACUAAUGUAUUAUGUAUAGAAAUCAUCAUAUGUGCUUUGAACUCUGUGUUUGAAAGUUAACCAGAGCAGGCCAGAAGCAUCAUCACAAUCCACAGACUUCGUUAUCACACAGGCAGGCAUGAGGACUGUGGCUUUAUUGCAAAUGCAAUUCACCUGUCCCCAUUUGCAGCCCAUGAAGACAGAACAUUAUCACUGCACAAGGGAAGGACUUAAAAGCAGGGAAAUGACUCCAAACUAGAUUAUGAAUUUCAGCAUUUUGGAAGACGAUGGUUGUAAGAUUCUGUACUUUAAGUCACACAACCAUAACACACUUAUGCUGCUUUCCUGGUACAAUAGCAAGACUGUUUUUCUUCUCAACUGUACAACCCAGGCUGAAGUUAAUCUUGGCAAGUUCAGUUUAGGAUUCUUUUUUUUUUUUUUAAACCACUGCAUAUGCAUGACUGAAUAUUUGUUAUGCAACCAUAACAACUGUCCUUUUCAAGAAAGAUUCCUGCAUAAUGUGAACACAGAGAAUCCAAGGCAAACAUGACUUGAUCGUAAAACUUUAAUAGUAAAAAAAGUGUAAAACCAAACACACCGCUGAAAACUUAUCAGUAAGAAUGAGAAUAUAAGUGUUCAAAUUCAGAAUAGUGCAAGUUUUCUUCACUCCCCUCCCCACCUCUUCCAAACUUAAAUCACUUUGGUUAAGAUACUCAGAAGUGUUGGCAAAAAAUGAACUUUUGACUUACAUUUUUGGCUGCAUUAUUUCGACCAUACACAGAUUUAGUUUCAGUUUUUAGAAAUAAAUCUUAAAUACUUCUCUAUUAAUCAAAUAUCCAUAGAGAUCACUGUCAUCUUUACUUAAAUCUGGCUUUAUAACAUUUUGAGAUUGGUUUAAAGGUGGUUACAAAACUGUCUCCCCAGCAGGUAGCAUACUUCUUAAACAGUUGAGCUGAACCUGUCCUGAUCUGGGGACCUAAUUUCUUCAGGUACUUCUAUAAAAUUUGAUGAUUUACGUUUUGAACAUUUGAGGAAGGAUCUUAGACCAACUCAAUUACUCUUGAUUUACACCAAAGCAAGAUUAGAAUUAGGGUAUGCUCUGUAGUAUAGAGUUUGUGCUAAAUUUUUCCUGCAAGCAUUCCCUUAGAAGAGUGAAAACAGCCAGAGCAGCUAUCUGGCCUUGACAUCUGUUUUGAUGGUUCAGUCUUUAACUGAUGCCUCUAACUAUAACUGAAGCCAUGUAAGAUUGGAAAAGAACACAAAAAAAAUUGCAUAAUACAAAAAGGCAAAUCCAUAAAAGUUUACAAGUACAACAUAAACACAAAAUUGGAGUAUUUCUAUAAAUUUGGGUUCAAUGUAAGAUACAACAAAACUAGCUUUACUAGUUAAAUAAAUUAUUGCUCCAUUUGACUCCAUGCAGCAUUGAAAUGAACUCAGAACCCUUUUCUCUUUAAUCUCUCAUAAGAAAUGAUCGAUAUUGAAGAGAACAUGAGGCUCAGACUUACUGUACAUUGCACUUCAACUUUUAAGACCUAAUACUUGCUACUUAGGUCUCCUGUGGUCUAAGCUAUCAAAUGAAUACGUUGUGCUCACCAGAACUAUGUAUUAAGAAACACCAAAUGUUUAAUGUAGUGACAUAAGCACUUUUUGUUUUUAAGAAGGCAAUCACAGAUUGCAAGUUCUAUAGGGUUGUAUAAAAACAAGUAGUGAUCUCUUUCAGAAACUGAACUGAGAAAACAAGCUGUUUGCUAUUUUUCACAUACAGUUUAAAUCACAUUUUAGGCCCAAUUCUGUUUCCAAUCGUUUCAGUCAAAACCCUGACUCAGACUGAAGAUCAAGGACAGCUCUAGGAGGAAAUGGCAAAUCGAACAGUUGGGGGUCACACAAUGACACGCAGUGCAUGUUUUUUCAGUGACACCAGACAUUUGAGAUACCCAAGACCUCCUUUGGUGAGAUACUGAAGUAUGUGUCUAAUAUUAAGCAGGAGUACUCAAACACACUUAGAUAUCUUACUGAAUAAAGGCCAGAACUUGAUUCUUGCAAAUCUAA